UUUUUGAUUAAUAAUUUAAAGUCUAAUCUGCCCACUGAUAUUAUAUUAAAGGGCUGCAGUAUUUUGACUGUACAAAGGUAGCAUAAUCAUUAGUCUCUUAAUUGGUGACUUGUAUGAAAGAUUUGAUGAAAUAUAUACUGUCUCUUUUUAAUUUAUAAAAUUUAAUUUUUUAGUUAAAAAGCUAAAAUAUAUUUAAAAGACGAGAAGACCCUAUAGAGUUUUAUAUUUAUAUAAAUUAUAAUUUUUUAUAAGAUUUAAAAUUUUGAUAUAUUUAAAUAUUGUGUUGGGGUGAUAAAAAAAUUUGAAUAACUUUUUUUAUAGAUUAACAUUUAUAAAUGAAUAAAUGAUCCGUAAUUUACGAUUAUAAGAAAAAAUUACCUUAGGGAUAACAGCGUAAUUUUUUUUUUUAGUUCAAAUAAGAAUAAAAGUUUGCGACCUCGAUGUUGGAUUAAGAUAAAAUUUAAAUGCAAAAGUUUAAAAUUUUUGAUCUGUUCGAUCAUUAAAAUCUUACA
rnacentral:rRNA from 1 species